UGGGGGUAAAGCGGACGUAGGCGGCUUUGUAAGUCUCACUGUGAAAGCCCGGGGCUCAACCCCGGAAUUGCCUUUAAGACUGCAUCGCUUGAAUCCAGGAGAGGUGAGUGGAAUUCCGAGUGUAGAGGUGAAAUUCGUAGAUAUUCGGAAGAACACCAGUGGCGAAGGCGGCUCACUGGACUGGUAUUGACGCUGAGGUGCGAAAGCGUGGGGAGCA
rnacentral:rRNA from 1 species